CUAAGUUUUCAAGCACCAAGAAUAGGAAGCGCCAUGACAUCUGCUGGAGCGUCUCUCCGCAAUUCGGACCCCCAAAAAAACUCCUUCUUAAGCAGCAAAAAAAUAAAAUAAUAAAGGCGCCUUAAGUCACUCUCCUCCACCCCUAAUUUGCACCGAUUCCACUGAAGCACUCAGGAUAACACCUCACUUGCCACAAGUGUUCUCCGUUUCCUAGCUUUAAACUUCAUUUCUUCAAGAAGUAUAUCUGCGUUCUCCAUCCCCCCAUGGAAGAAGUGAUCCAAGAGGUAUUUUCAGAAUUAUGCUUCCUUCCCACCCCCACGCUUUCCUCUUGGCCCGAGCCUUCCUUUUCUCCUACCACCCCAUGCCCUUGUCCCCGCGGGUUACCUUAUUAAUCCGUUUCAGCGCCAUAGUGUGUGCUUGUCGUCUGGCUCCUCACUCUCUCGGUGUAUGCUCAAAGGUCCGGCCAAAACUCUUGAUUAUCCCGGCGGCGGGGCAGGAUUGUCUCGUCUCACACCAGCUCUGCCAGACACAGGCGCCUUUUGCAAAAACGGAGCAGAUCAGCACUCGCACAGGCCCCGAAGAGCCCCUGAUGAAUCCAGGUCCCUUAAGACAGCCGCGAUCCGGGGUGGGUGGGGUGGCGUGGCAAAGCCACCAACAGCCUCUGUACCGUGCUUUCGGCCCGAAGUGGGGGCGAGGGUGACGGGAAGAGCGGAGGUGGUGGCUACAAGUUUAACUUCCCGGCCUCUAGAAAGGAAGAGACCCGGGUGGGAGAGGAAGAGGCGUAGGAGAAAGGGGUGGGUGCGGGGCAGGGUCCGGAGCCCAGCAGAGGAGGAGCCGGGGCCUAGUCGGCGCUAUACCGGCGUCACUAGGGCAAAGAAAGGCAAGGGGGGAGGGGGAAGCAUAAGACUCCGGACGGACGCCGGGCUGCUUUCGGUUUCUGUCCAAAGGUGCGGCCGGGAAAAGGAAGGAAAUAAAGGAAGGGAGACUUGAUGUGUAUUGCUAUCCUCGCAGCGAGCUAUUCUGUGUCACCCCUGACGCCACCGUACACUCACUCCGCCUUCCAGCGCGCUCCCGCGCGCGCCCGCCCAGCCACCUCCACCACGCGCCCGCGCUGUCCCUGAGGCUCCGGCUUAGGCGCGAGGACGCGCCCAUUCCCCCUCCUCCUCCAGCAGGAGAGGCCGCGGCUUCCCCAACCUUCCCACCCUAACCCACCGCACCCAAUAGGCUGGCCGCUCAAGCCGCCCAGGUCCCGCACUGCCCCUCUUACCCGGCCGGCCACUGGGCCGGCCUCCCUUCCCUGCCCUAGCCGUCCACACCCACGCGUACAGAGGGGCCGGGGCCUCCCUCAAGCUGCGGCCUCGGCCUCCUCCCCGCGCGGCAGCUGGUGCCUCCCCGGCCCUACGGGGCUCACGCGCACGACACAGCCACAAGAUGUCCGCUCUGACGGAACUACUGCCAGCUGCCACGCUCCGCCCCUCCCCCUCCUCCUGCCUCUUCACCGCCGCGGAUCAGUCCGCCAACGCCGCCGUCCCGAGCACAAGACCGAUGUGAGGCCGAAGCCAGACGGCUUGCUUCCCACGUCCGGGGCCGAGUGAAUACGUGUCAAGCCCUUUUCCUUCUUCUCGGAACAGCACCUUCUUACUAAACAGAUCGGAGAUUGGACCAGGAGGGCGGGGGAGGGAGGAGGAUCAUGAGCUGGGGGGAGGGUGAACGAGUGGCGGAAACCCUUAGGCUCAGAGAAGCAUCGAGAACCGGAAGGAGACCAUGGGAGGAAGGUAAAGGAAGCAGCCGCUGCGCGAUCCAGCCCCACGCCCCUCCCCACAGCGUCCCCCAGUUUCCUCACUUGGUAUCGAGGAGACGACUCUCGCGAGAACUUCGUGGCUGGCUAACCGAAGCGGUAGCUCUGCAAUGACUUAAGAGCAGUUUUGUGCGCUUUUCCUGACGGGGUUCCGCCUCCAAAAUGCAUAAGUUCUCGCGAGACGCAGUAAGGCACCGGCUCGAACUGGGGCGGGCCACUGCCAGGAAAGCAACGCCCCUGAAUGCUUAUGCCGGUGGUUGGUAGAGGAAAUGGAAUUCCCCAGACUGUACCUCUUGACUUGCUACUGGUACCUGGAAGAGAUGUAACACCUGACCAUGGGACAUCAAGUGACUGUGUGAAUCAAACUGCCCAUCAUGAAUUGUUGUUAUUUGACUCAUCAAACUGUACAACUGGAUGAACACAGGAGCAGUGCACUACAUAUGGGACUGGAACCAUGAAUGAGCAGGUGACUCAGACUCCUAUAGUACCUGCCUCUACUCCUUCAGCACUUCUCCCUCAACCCACAUAAACUGUCAUCAUAAUGAGUUCCCUCUGACCAGUUAAUGGAAGAGAAAAAAGUAUGGAUGUUAUGGAUAUCCUAACAUAUUUCUGGCCAUUGGACCCCUAGAAACCUGUGGCAAGUCCUGGAAGUUUUUCAAGGUUCAUCUUGCACCUUCUAGCAUGCAUAUGUCGUACCAAAGCAUGUAGAAUGCUGCCUACUUCUGCUCUUCAGUUUCAUUUAAUAUAAUUUCAUUACUCUGAUAAAUCAGUGUGAUGUUCUAUGGAAUAACAAAAGACCAUCAAGGUCCCUUCAUACCAUAUAGA
rnacentral:lncRNA from 1 species